rnacentral:tRNA from 1 species
GUCCCUGUAGCUCAGUAGGAUAGAGCAACUGCCUUCUAAGCAGUGGGUCGUGCGUUCGAGUCGCACCAGGGACGCCA